GGCCACACUGUCUCAAAACAUGACAGGUGUGGGAAGAAAAGAAAUAUGGUGUCAUGGCAGGAAGCCAUGCUUAGAGAUUCUGCAAUGCCCCCAGGAGAUGACAUGACUGGCUACAGAUCAUGGUGCCGGACUACAUCACAGCUAGAUCCCACAACCCUUCCUACACACCACAGUUUUCUGUGCCUUAAGGUUUUGGGCUCCACAGAUGCUUUAUGAUCAUCGGUCCUGAGCUUGCUGGGAGGCACAGAUUUCUUCAAAGACAUGUUCCUAUCUCAAAAAACUGCAGGUGAGAGGAGAAAAUAUGCAAAAGACAGGUAGCAAGUGAACCAAGCAAUUGUCAGGGAAAGGAAAGGAAGAAACAAGAUGGAAUAAAAUAA